rnacentral:rRNA from 1 species
CCAGACUCCUACGGGAGGCAGCAGUGGGGGAUAUUGCACAAUGGGGGAAACCCUGAUGCAGCGACGCCGCGUGGGUGAAGAAGCGCCUCGGCGCGUAAAGCCCUGUCAGCAGGGAAGAAAAUGACGGUACCUGAAGAAGAAGCCCCGGCUAGCUACGUGCCAGCAGCCGCGGUAAUACGUAGGGGGCAAGCGUUAUCCGGAUUUACUGGGUGUAAAGGGGGCGCAGACGGCGAUGCAAGCCAGGAGUGAAAGCCCGGGGCCCAACCCCGGGACUGCUCUUGGAACUGCGUGGCUGGAGUGCGGGAGGGGCAGGCGGAAUUCCUGGUGUAGCGGUGAAAUGCGUAGAUAUCAGGAGGAACACCGGUGGCGAAGGCGGCCUGCUGGACUGCAACUGACGUUGAGGCCCGAAAGCGUGGGGAGCAAACAGGAUUAGAUACCCCAGUACG